GCUCCUCUGAUUUAGCGGCGGACGGGUGAGAAACGUGGGUAAUCUGCCUGUAAGACGGGGAUAACUCCGGGAAACCGGGGCUAAUACCGGAUAAUAAGAGAAGAAGCAUUUCUUCUUUUUGAAAGUCGGUUUCGGCUGACACUUACAGAUGAGCCCGCGGCGCAUUAGCUAGUUGGUGAGGUAACGGCUCACCAAGGCGACGAUGCGUAGCCGACCUGAGAGGGUGAUCGGCCACACUGGGACUGAGACACGGCCCAGACUCCUACGGGAGGCAGCAGUAGGGAAUCUUCGGCAAUGGGCGAAAGCCUGACCGAGCAACGCCGCGUGAGCGAUGAAGGCCUUCGGGUCGUAAAGCUCUGUUGUUAGAGAAGAACAAGUACGAGAGUAACUGCUCGUACCUUGACGGUACCUAACCAGAAAGCCACGGCUAACUACGUGCCAGCAGCCGCGGUAAUACGUAGGUGGCAAGCGUUAUCCGGAAUUAUUGGGCGUAAGCGCGCGCAGGCGGUCUCUUAAGUCUGAUGUGAAAGCCCACGGCUCAACCGUGGAGGGUCAUUGGAAACUGGGAGACUUGAGUGCAGGAGAGAAAAGUGGAAUUCCACGUGUA
rnacentral:rRNA from 1 species